rnacentral:rRNA from 1 species
UUUAUGGAGAGUUUGAUCCUGGCUCAGGACGAACGCUGGCGGCGUGCCUAAUACAUGCAAGUCGAGCGAACAGAGAAGGAGCUUGCUCCUUUGACGUUAGCGGCGGACGGGUGAGUAACACGUGGGCAACCUACCCUAUAGUUUGGGAUAACUCCGGGAAACCGGGGCUAAUACCGAAUAAUCUUUUGUCCCUCAUGGGACACUACUGAAAGACGGUCUCGGC